rnacentral:rRNA from 1 species
UACAGAGGUGCCAAGCGUUAGGCGGAAUCACUGGGCUUAAAGCGCGUGUAGGCGGGUCGUUAAGUGUCCGCGUGAAAUCCCACGGCUCAACCGUGGAACUGCCGGGCAUACUGGCGAUCUUGAGGCAUUCAGGGGCGAGCGGAACAAAUGGUGGAGCGGUGAAAUGCGUAGAUAUCAUUUGGAACGCCAAUGGUGAAAACAGCUCGCUGGGAAUGAUCUGACGCUGAGACGCGAAAGCCAGGGAGCGGAACGGG